rnacentral:rRNA from 1 species
UGGGGAAUAUUGCACAAUGGGCGAAAGCCUGAUGCAGCAAUGCCGCGUGUGUGAAGAAGGCCUGCGGGUUGUAAAGCACUUUCGGUAGGAAAGAUAAUGACGGUACCUACAGAAGAAGCACCGGCUAACUCCGUGCCAGCAGCCGCGGUAAUACGGAGGGUGCAAGCGUUAAUCGGAAUUACUGGGCGUAAAGCGCGUGUAGGCGGUCUUGUAAGUCGGAUGUGAAAGCCCCGGGCUCAACCUGGGAACUGCAUUCGAUACUGCUCGACUAGAGUAUGGAAGAGGGAAGCGGAAUUCCGGGUGUAGCGGUGAAAUGCGUAGAUAUCCGGAGGAACACCAGUGGCGAAGGCGGCUUCCUGGUCCAAUACUGACGCUGAGACGCGAAAGCGUGGGGAGCAAACAGGAUUAGAUACCCCCGUAGUCCCUGAGCGGGCUGGCAAGGCGCAU